UUUAAUGAGUGUCUUUGUGUUAUUUACAGGUCUUUAUGCUCUGGUUAUUCAUCUGCGUUUCCUGGAAGCUGUAAAUCAAAAAUGUCUUCUGGUGUCAAAGGAGCAGAACCAGGUUUGAAGCUAUCUGUAUCUGCAUCAUCUUUAUCAUCUGAUCACUCACAAAAUACAGGAAAAAUACUGUGUGACAUCUGCUCAGAGCUCAAGGCUGUGAAGACCUGUGUGACCUGUAGUAUCUCCUACUGUGAGACCCACAUCAGGGACCAUUACAGAGUCCCUAAACUCCAGCUCCACUCCCUGGUGGAUGUAGGGAGACGCCAGCUACUCUGCAGCGAACACAACAGGCCCCUGGAGGUGUUCUGCUUGACUGACGAGAUGUUGAUCUGCAGUCUGUGUUCUGCAACACAGCACAGGGGACAUGAAGUAUUUCACAAGACUGGACUAUCUGAC